rnacentral:rRNA from 1 species
GAUGAACGCUGGCGGCGUGCCUAAUACAUGCAAGUCGAGCGAACAGACGAGGAGCUUGCUCCUCUGAUGUUAGCGGCGGACGGGUGAGUAACACGUGGAUAACCUACCUAUAAGACUGGGAUAACUUCGGGAAACCGGAGCUAAUACCGGAUAACAUGUUGAACCGCAUGGUUCAACAGUGAAAGACGGCCUUGCUGUCACUUAUAGAUGGAUCCGCGCCGCAUUAGCUAGUUGGUAAGGUAACGGCUUACCAAGGCAACGAUGCGUAGCCGACCUGAGAGGGUGAUCGGCCACACUGGAACUGAGACACGGUCCAGACUCCUACGGGAGGCAGCAGUAGGGAAUCUUCCGCAAUGGGCGAAAGCCUGACGGAGCAACGCCGCGUGAGUGAAGAAGGUCUUCGGAUCGUAAAACUCUGUUAUUAGGGAAGAACAAAUGUGUAAGUAACUAUGCACGUCUUGACGGUACCUAAUCAGAAAGCCACGGCUAACUACGUG